rnacentral:sRNA from 2 species
UCCGGGCGGACGCCGAGUCCUGCCGCUGUCCCGGACGUCUGGUCGACAGGAUUGGAUCGGCAGGAGUGGAGGACCCGAUUUUUACGGGGCGUACGCGCUGUUCCGGCAGCGAGUCCGUCCCUUGGGGUGAAGCCGCGUCAGCGGCCGGGCAUCUUCGCCAGCCCGAACCCGACAGGUCAUCCUUCGCAGGCGGCUGACGAAGGGUUG